rnacentral:rRNA from 1 species
UACGUAGGGUGCAAGCGUUGUCCGGAAUUAUUGGGCGUAAAGAGCUCGUAGGCGGUUUGUCGCGUCUGCUGUGAAAACCCGCGGCUCAACCUCGGGCCUGCGGUGGGUACGGGCAGACUAGAGUGCGGUAGGGGAGAUUGGAAUUCCUGGUGUAGCGGUGGAAUGCGCAGAUAUCAGGAGGAACACCGGUGGCGAAGGCGGGUCUCUGGGCCGUAACUGACGCUGAGGAGCGAAAGUGUGGGGAGCGAACAGG